UGUAAUUUAGUUUAGAAAGAAUAUUUGUUUUUGGUACAAAAGGGUAUUAAUUACAG
rnacentral:tRNA from 1 species